rnacentral:lncRNA from 1 species
AGCCCAGCACUUCCUGGUUUUGCUGACAGUAUUUCAGCUCCAUGGCUGCGGAGCCACAAGCCCUGGCUUAUAGGUUUGCUUGCUAAGGCUAGCCUCUCCAGUGCAUGGCUGAUGAUAGGGUACUUUCUGCUGUUUCUCCCCCAACCCCUAAGCUACCAAACUAGAGCUUGUAAGUCUGGUUGAAUAUUCACACAGGGUGAUUUUAGUUGGUUUGUCUGAACCCUAAUAACUAAAAGCUCAGCUUUCUCCAGCAAAAGAGGCUGUAUGUAUUGUCACAGCGGUGGGCAUGGGGAUUAGGAAGUUCAAGGCCCAACAACAGGAAAGUUAACAAUCGAAUGAAGGCUGUAUUUACAUAAUUUACAUGGAGGAUGAGUAUAUUAGCCACACAACAUUAAACACUGGCCUAGGAAUUUGUCCCCUUGACUGGUUGCUCUUUAAUCGACUUGAUACCAGCAGAUGGAGGGAGGGAAGUAUUCACCGAAGAUGCCAAGCUUAGUUUUGGAUUCCUACAGCAUUGGUUUUAAACCCUUCAGCUUGAUCAUGUUUUUUUCCCUUUGGUAAGCUUUCUCGAUUCACUGAAUUCACUUCUUACAGAGCAGCACUCUACCCUAGUAAAUUUUCUCUUGGGUCUCCAAUUUCUCUCUGGAGAGAGAGUGCCCCCUGCUGGUGUAGCUUGUCUUAGUCCAAAGGCCCUCUUGCUCUGGGCUGGCCUGGUCACCAGAAUGUGUCCCUCUAAGUCUAGGCCCGGCCCACACAGACACCAAAGCUUUUCAGCUAUUCUAGGAAUCAGGGAGGAUAAUAUAUUCUUUUCCCAUCUUGCUAUUACUCUGGGUCAAGGCAUCAAUCUAGAACCGGGUUCUCAAACAGCUGUCCACUUUAAGUCAUUUUUGCUCAGACCUGUACCAUAUGCUGGAAAAAGACAUAGGCAAGACCUUAAACUAAUACCUUUAUGUGGCAGCCACUAAAACCAUUCCACAAUGUGCCUGGUAUCUUGGGGUUUUCUUGCCCAAACACACAACUGUCUUCCAAGGAUAAUCACAGCAUGUGGCAUUUCAGACCAUAUGUUUCAGGUUUCUAUUUUGGAAACCUUCAACUGUCUUGCUUAUGCAGUGUAUGUAAAUUUAUUCUUUUUUAAAAUAAAAUCUUUUUUUGAGUAUGAUUAUUAAAUGCUUUAAAAAUCUAA